rnacentral:rRNA from 1 species
AUACAGAUGAUAUAUAGUCACGACAUCGUGGAAAUAUCAAAUCUUCGGAGCCUUGGGAUGAGCCUGCGUCUGAUUAGGUAGUUGGCGGAGUAAUAGCCCACCAAGCCUACGAUCAGUAGCUGGUCUGAGAGGAUGAUCAGCCACACUGGAACUGAGACACGGUCCAGACUCCUACGGGAGGCAGCAGUAAGGAAUAUUGCUCAAUGGGGGAAACCCUGAAGCAGCAACGCCGCGUGAAGGAUGAAAUACUUUGUAUGUAAACUUCUGUAAGAUGGGAAAAAUAUUCUCCUCGGGAGAAUUGAUUGUACCAUCAGAGUAAGCCCCGGCUAACUACGUG